rnacentral:lncRNA from 1 species
UCACCUUCUCACAAUGAGGCUCCCUGCUCAGCUCCUGGGGCUGCUAAUGCUCUGGGUCCCAGGAUCCAGUGGGGAUGUUGUGAUGACUCAGUCUCCACUCUCCCUGCCCGUCACCCUUGGACAGCCGGCCUCCAUCUCCUGCAGGUCUAGUCAAAGCCUCGUAUACAGUGAUGGAAACACCUACUUGAAUUGGUUUCAGCAGAGGCCAGGCCAAUCUCCAAGGCGCCUAAUUUAUAAGGUUUCUAACCGGGACUCUGGGGUCCCAGACAGAUUCAGCGGCAGUGGGUCAGGCACUGAUUUCACACUGAAAAUCAGCAGGGUGGAGGCUGAGGAUGUUGGGGUUUAUUACUGCAUGCAAGGUACACACUGGCCUCACCUUCGGCCAAGGGACACGACUGGAGAUU